AUCUCACUCAUCACAGCGCCUCACGUCCGGACUCGUUUAUUCAUACAUUUACGCAUACCUGGGACAUUUGCUCGACUCGUGACUCUGUCCUUGGGUCGAUCUGAAAGCGAGUUGUACAAGGAUUUAUAACUUCAUGGUCGGCUCGCAGUCGUGUGCCGUUAUGGAUGUGCUGAUGACAUCAUUUAAUGACCGUAGUCUUGGCUUCUAAAAUAUCUUCAGGAAAAUACCUAAAACAGGGUGAUUUCAACUCAGUAUCCUCGUUCGCUCGCAUGUGCAAGACACUGGAAACGUGAAAACACCUGUGCAGUUUACCUCUCGCGAAGAUGACUUGUCCCUGCGUGUCGGAUGAAACCAUGUGUGAUGCUCGACCUGUAAGGGACGCGAUGGAGAGGGACUUGCCGAGCGACAGGUUCAUGGAACUCGACGCUGGCGAUGAUGAUGCUUUGCUCAUCCAGAGAAUUGAUUCCAAUGAGAUCAUCUAUUGUCCACCCAAGAGGAAGUACAAGCUGGUUGGGAAAUAUGUUAUGGGAGACAAGCUAGGUGAGGGGAGUUAUGGCAAAGUCAAAGAAUGCCUGGACUCAACCACUCUACAACGCAGGGCAAUUAAGAUCAUGAAAAGGAAGACCCUCAGAAGGAUCCCAAAUGGUGACCAAAAUGUCCAGCGAGAAAUCAGGCUUUUGCGAAGGCUAAGACAUCACAAUGUUAUUAGUUUAUAUGAUGUUUAUCACAACGAGGCAAAAGGCAAGAUAUACAUGGUCAUGGAGUUUUGUGUUACGGGGUUACAAGAAAUGCUUGACAGAUCAAAAGACAAAAAACUUCCUAUCUGGCAAGCAAACAAAUAUUUUGUACAGCUGGUAGAGGGACUAGAAUACUUGCACAGCCGAGGUGUAGUGCACAAAGACAUUAAACCUGGCAACCUCCUUCUUACUUCUGAUAAUAUGCUCAAGAUUUCAGAUUUUGGUGUUGCUGAGCAACUGGAUGUGUUAGCAGGCAAAGAUGAGAUCACAACCAGUCAAGGGUCUCCACUGUUCCAGCCACCUGAGGUUGCAGGCGGAGCUCGAGUGUUCUCUGGCUUUAAAGUGGACGUUUGGAGUGCUGGUUGUACUCUUGUGGACAGCACUGCCUGUUGUUGGCUCUUCAACCAUCUCUCCUAGUUGGUGACUUAGAGUGUGAAAACUCAACACCUCUAUCACCGUAUAGCAACAUACACUUGAGAACCACCUGAAGACACCAACCCAUUGUAUCCUCACAGCCAGCAGAUGGCCCUAGAAAUCAUUGAUUAUAAUCUGACAAGCGGGAAAUACCCUUUUGAAGGGGAGAACAUGUUUCGGCUUUUUGAAAACAUAUGCGAGAAGCCUUUAGUCAUGCCAGAGGAGCUGGACCCUGUUCUCAAGACGCUGUUAGAAG